UACGGAGGAUGCGAGCGUUAUCCGGAUUUAUUGGGUUUAAAGGGUGCGCAGGCGGGCUGUUAAGCCGGCGGUAAAAAUUCAGGGCUCAACCCUGUCGAGCCGUCGGAACUGGCAGUCUUGAGUGGGCGAGAAGUAUGCGGAAUGCGUGGUGUAGCGGUGAAAUGCAUAGAUAUUACACAGAACACCGAUUGCGAAGGCAGCUUGCUAGGCCGGAUCUGACACUGAUGCACGAAAGCGUGGGGAUCGAACAGG
rnacentral:rRNA from 1 species